GCUUAAUUGCCAUCAUUAAGUUGGGCACUCUAAGUUGACUGCCGGUGACAUACCGGAGGAAGGUGGGGAUGACGUCAAAUCAUCAUGCCCCUUAUGAUUUGGGCUACACACGAGCUACAAUGGACUAUACAAAGGGCAGCGAAACCGCGAGGUCAAGCAAAUCCCAUAAAGUUGUUCUCAGUUCGGAUUGUACUCUGCAACUCGACUACAUGAAGCUGGAAUCGCAAGAAAUCGUAGAUCAGAAUGAUACGGUAAAUACGUUCCCGGGUCUUGAACGCCAAGCCAGUCAAACCACGAGAUUUUGUAACACCCGAAGCCGGUGGAGUAACCUUUUAGGAGCUAGCCGUCGAAGGUGGGGCAAAUGAUUGAGGUGAAAUCGUACCAAGGUAGCCGUAUCGGA
rnacentral:rRNA from 1 species